CGAUAAUAUCAAGUUCAAUCACAAGUUCCCGUACGAUCACCGAAGUUAAGCAAUGUCAUGCCUGGUCAAUACCUAGAUAGGUAACCGCUUGGGAAUAUCAGAUGCUGUAUU